GACAGAGGUGCCAAGCGUUAGGCGGAAUCACUGGGCUUAAAGCGUGUGUAGGUGGAUUUGUAAGUACCUUGUGAAAUCCCAUGGCUCAACCAUGGAACUGCUCGGUAUACUGCGAAUCUUGAGCCACUUAGGGGCUACCGGAACAAAUGGUGGAGCGGUGAAAUGCGUAGAUAUCAUUUGGAACGCCAAUGGUGAAAACAGGUGAGCUGGGAGUGUGCUGACACUGAGACACGAAAGCCAGGGGAGCGAACGGG
rnacentral:rRNA from 1 species